CUUGAAUCUAAACAUCACACAGGCUGAACAUCACAAUUUAGAGCUCUUCUCAGAUGGCCAUGUGAUAUCUUGAUUCCUCCUGGAUAAAGUUGAAGUGUUAAUGACCCCAUCCCUCUGUUGAAGCCUUCUUUCUGCAGACAAAAAACCGCUGCAUUCAUCUGCCUCCACCAACCUCAGUGCAGAUAACACUCAGCAAAACACUGCAUCCUCCAGGAUGGAGGCGGGGAAGUGAGAAAGCCAGCAAACGUGCAUCUGGAUGGUGAAUGCAGAAACACUGAAGCAAGGUAUGUUGUAAAAACAAAAACAACACAGGAACACCUGACCCACAGCCAGGAGCCUCCCCGUUACAUUGGGAACAGCCCUCAUCAGCAUCUCACACUGAGGCAGCUUGAGCUGACGAAGCCUUUGGAAAGCACUGAUUCCUAUGUGUCCUGGAGCACAGCAAGCACAGAUGAUGAUGAAGCCAUCACAGCUGGUUACAGCUGUAUUGCAUGAGCUUGAGCUGCCCAUUCUUUGGUGCCAGUGGAUGGCAUGAUGCUUUGAAAAGGAGCCCAUCAUUGGACAUCAUGGAACCUAAUUGGCACGGUUUGUCACAGCAUCAACACUGGGUAGCUUAGCCUGUAGAGCUGAGGGACCACCCCAGCCUCUCAAAAACUACUGGCACAUGCUGUCUUGCUCUUUCAACACUGCACUGAGAUUUUCAUAUUUCUCCAGCCAAUCUUCCAUUCCCUCUCUUGCAAGGAACAGCAAGAAGGGCAUGUAAAAGGCAAUAGCGAGGCUGGAAAAUCCCAAGUAAGGCUCUACCCCUGGCUGAAGGUCAGGAGAGUGGCCAUAAAUGCUGGCCAAGGCUGGAUCAUGAGAGGCUCCUCAGGGAUGGGGAGCCGUGGACAGAUGUGCGCUCCUGGAUCCAGCUGUGCCACUGGACGUGCUCCCCCCUCCAGACAUUUCUCCCCACCCUCCAGAUGCUCCAGCCCCUGCAGCACAAAGCAGCGUCGCUCACUGGGGUGAACUCUCCAUUGACAGAAUGUUGCAGAGCAUCAUUUCCAGCUAAGGCCAGUAAUGAGUAGCUGGGGCAUGGUGACAUUUCCAGCUGACAGCCCUCUGUGGAAAGAACGUCUGCCUGUGGCUGGAGAAUAACCAAGGUAGCCAAGGAGGAGCGGUUUGAGACAGUUCAGGAUUGCUGGGAGGAGGUCGGCGAGCCAUGCAGCAAAACUAGUUGCAUUUCAUAGAAAAGUGUAAGAAGGGCUUUUAUAGCCAAAGUUGUAGCAGGGAAGCAGGCAAGGAGGGAAGUGAAACUAUGAGCAAACCAAAGGGGCUCGUACUCAGAGCCCCCCUCAAAAUCCCGUCCCCUUAGUUCCCAAAAACGUGUUUUGGGAAAUUUUAGAUUUAAGAAAUCAAUCUGUGUAGGCUGCAGACAUCCUCUGGUAUUCAUCCUCAGUUGUUAAUGGAAGGAUUAGUUAAUGAACAUUUUGAUCCGUAGGUGGCUAUUUUAUAAAUUUUUGGACAACGUGGUCCUGAGAGGCAGAAAGGAAAUGUGGUGGUGAUUUAGAGCAGAAAAGGAUAGAAUAUAAUUCUGGCACUCAGCAGCCUAUAAAUAUCGUAGAACAAAUAUUUAAGAAAAAGUCAUGAUGAAAUGUUUAGAGCUUGGUUCUGUCCACACGAUAGUGUCAACAGGGAGAAACUGCAGAAGCCAGAUGCUGAGUAAAAUUACCAGGAGACAAGAGUUGGACUUGAAGAAUGAUGGGCACAGAAAACUUUUCUUCUUUUCCAACUUUUUUUUUUUUGGUGGGAAGAGGUAUAACGUUAGAGAAUGACAGAGCCAGAAGAUGAAGGGAGCACACAUUUAUGAACAUGUGUUUUUGUUUUGAUUAAUGUAUUCUGCUUCUUUGUCUUAGGAAAUAAGAAAUUAGAAUAAAAAAAAUGUGUUGGUCUGAAACACAGUUUGUGCAAACUGAAAACACAUUGAAAUGCAGUAACUAAUCCCAAACAAGAGCAAGCUGCGUUGAACAAGGCGUGUCCACCAGGGUAGGACAAGAGUCAGGAUCAAGUUUCGUUAACAACUUUGCUGAUGAUCCGGGAGGACAGCACCAGUAUAAAUUGAAAUUCACAGAGGACAGUAAAUUAGAAGCAGAUUAGUAAGUAAGCAGGAGUUUUCUGUGGUUUAGAUCUACUUCUGUUCCAAACACCUGGAAAUUUCCACCCGAUAUGAAGAGGUAUUUCAUGCACUGAAAAAUCUCAUCUCAUUGAGUGACAUUUUCAUUACUCACCACCUAGCCCACUCAGUCUCUUUGUAACCCUCUGAAUGUACUUCUGGGUAUCUUUCACAGGUCUUUCCACAGGUCCAACCCUUCUCUUUGUUAACUUGUGUGACAUUUAGAGACACGUUUCUGGAACAAACGUGCACCCAGUGCUUGCAGCCGCCAUCUCCAGGUUUGCUACCUGCCCACUUUCCCCACAUGCAAAGAAAAUCACUUGAAGUCACUCCAGUGAUGGAGUGGUGCGCAUUUGAAUGUAUGCCCCAUCUCCACAUGGCCUCCAGCGCUCUUAUCUGCUAAUAC
ensembl:lncRNA